AGAGAGAGUGUGGUCUUAUAAAGAGGGGGAGAGAGUGACAUAACGAGUUGGAGGGAAAUUCUUUUGAUAAGGUGAAGUAUCUUUGGGAGUGAGAGCAAAACAAACUAUUCUAGCCUUUAUUUUCUUUUAAAUAAAUUUAUUUUUCUCUCUCAAAUUUUUCUUCCAACGAUUCUUCCAUAUUAUUUUUUUGUGCUUCUCUUGGAUCCUAGGCCAACAUGAUAGAUCUACACUGAGUAGUAUGCCAUUCUACAUGGUAUCAGAGCGAGAUUGAAGUGUGGUCAAUUGGUUUGGGGCUUCGAUUAGAUAUAAUCAGAGCACAACUUUUGGAGCGGCAGCUUGAUUGUUGGUGGUUUAAGGUGAUUAUUCAGCAUGGUUCAAGAGCUUCCGGUAAUUCAUUGUGUGCAUCGACUUUAUUGUGAUUCACAUCAUGAUGGUUGACUUCAACAACAUCAACAUGGCUGCUUUUGCUACCACCACUUGUCUCCUUAAGUUGAACAACAAAUUAUCCAAGGUGCAAGUCUAUGAUCAAAGCAUAUCUGAUGGGACAAGAUUUGUGGAACAUCUUAAAAGAGUCAAAAGGAUGCCAACAGAUACCUUUGAUAAUGAGAUUACAAAAAAAAGUGGAGUCUCAAAUCUAAGAAGGUGAUGUGAAUUAUCAAAGCUAUGGUGGAUAGAGAAAAUUACCUCCAUAUCUAAAGAUAUAAAAGAGCCAAAAAAAGUGUGGGAUAUUCUUGUGGCUGUUUACUCAAGACUAGCAUGUGAGAAAGCAUGGGAUAUUCUAGUGGCUGUUCACUUAAGAUCUAGCAAGAUGAGAAAUCAAGAUGUUCUCAAACAAAAGUUGCCCAAAGAGUGGGUUUUGGUUUUAGGCUUCCUCGACAACCCAAAAGAAGAGCAGAACUGGUUUAAAAAUAAAGAUUUGAAGCAUGAUGAGCUUAAUCAGGUAGAGACUGGAUCAAAUUUAGAAGACUCAGA
rnacentral:lncRNA from 1 species